rnacentral:SRP_RNA from 1 species
GGGUCGGUCUUGCACGGCAAACCCUCCGAACCGUGUCAGGGGCGGAAGUCAGCAGCACUAAGGAGUUCCGUUUGGGUGUUGCGAGGGUGCCGGCUCGAA